CCUACGGGUGGCAGCAGUGGGGGAUAUUGCACACUGGGGGGAACCCUGAUGCCGCGACGCCGCGUGGGUGAAGGAGUAUUUCGGUAUGUAACGCCCUAUCGGCAGGGAAGAAUUUAGACGGUACCUGACUAAGAAGCCCCGGCUAACUACGUGCCAGCAGCCGCGGUAAUAUGUAGGGGGCAAGCGUUAUCCGGAUUCCCUGGGUGUAAAGGGAGCGUAGACGGCCCGGCAAGCCUGGAGUGAAAGCCCGGGGCCCAACCCCGGGACUGCUCUGGGGACUGUCCGGCUGGAGUGCGGGAGGGGCAGGCGGAAUUCCUGGUGUAGCGGUGAAAUGCGUAGAUAUCACGAAGAACACCGAUUGCGAAGGCAGCUUACUAAACUGCCACUGACAUUGAUGCUCGAAAGUGUGGGGAGCAAACAGGAUUAGAUACCCGAGUAGUC
rnacentral:rRNA from 1 species